rnacentral:rRNA from 1 species
GGGGAAUAUUGCGCAAUGGGGGGAACCCUGACGCAGCAACGCCGCGUGAGUGAAGAAGGCCUUCGGGUCGUAAAACUCUGUCAUAGGGGAAGAAGGAAGUGACGGUACCCUAUGAGGAAGCCCCGGCUAACUACGUGCCAGCAGCCGCGGUAAUACGUAGGGGGCGAGCGUUGUCCGGAAUUACUGGGCGUAAAGGGUGCGUAGGCGGCCUGAUAAGUCAGAUGUGAAAUACCAGGGCUCAACCCUGGGGGUGCAUUUGAAACUGUUGGGCUUGAGUGCAGGAGAGGAGAGUGGAAUUCCUAGUGUAGCGGUGAAAUGCGUAGAGAUUAGGAGGAACACCAGUGGCGAAGGCGACUUUCUGGACUGUAACUGACGCUGAGGCACGAAAGCGUGGGGAGCGAAC